UACGGGGGGAGCAAGCGUUGUUCGGAUUUACUGGGCGUAAAGGGCGCGUAGGCGGUCAGCACAAGUCAGUUGUGAAAUCUCCGGGCUUAACUCGGAAAGGUCAACUGAUACUGUGCGACUAGAGUGCAGAAGGGGCAACUGGAAUUCUCGGUGUAGCGGUGAAAUGCGCAGAUAUCAGGAGGAACACCAGUGGCGAAGGCGGCACUCUGGCCGGAGUACUGACGCUGAGGCACGAAAGCGUGGGGAGCAA
rnacentral:rRNA from 1 species